rnacentral:rRNA from 1 species
AGAGUUUGAUCAUGGCUCAGAUUGAACGCUGGCGGCAGGCCUAACACAUGCAAGUCGAGCGGAAGAAGGGGGCUUGCUCCCGGAUUCAGCGGCGGACGGGUGAGUAACGCGUAGGAAUCUACCUAAUAGUGGGGGAUAACGUUUCGAAAGGAACGCUAAUACCGCAUACGUUCUGAGGAAGAAAGCAGGGGAUCGCAAGACCUUGCGCUAUUAGAUGAGCCUGCGUCCGAUUAGCUAGUUGGUGGGGUAAAGGCCUACCAAGGCGACGAUCGGUAACUGGUCUGAGAGGAUGAUCAGUCACACUGGAACUGAGACACGGUCCAGACUCCUACGGGAGGCAGCAGUGGGGAAUAUUGGACAAUGGGGGCAACCCUGAUCCAGCCAUGCCGCGUGUGUGAAGAAGGCCUUCGGGUUGUAAAGCACUUUAAGCGGGGAGGAAGGCUCUAUGGCUAAUAUCCAUGGGGAUUGACGUUACCCGCAGAAUAAGCACCGGCAAACUUCGUGCCAGCAGCCGCGGUAAUACGAAGGGUGCGAGCGUUAAUCGGAAUUACUGGGCGUAAAGCGCGCGUAGGUGGUUUGAUAAGCGAUAUGUGAAAUCCCCGGGCUUAACCUGGGAACUGCAUGUCGAACUGCCAGGCUAGAGUAUGGUAGAGGGGUGUGGAAUUUCCUGUGUAGCGGUGAAAUGCGUAGAUAUAGGAAGGAACAUCAGUGGCGAAGGCGACACCCUGGACCGAUACUGACACUGAGGCGCGAAAGCGUGGGUAGCGAACAGGAUUAGAUACCCUGGUAGUCCACGCCGUAAACGAUGUCAACUAGCCG